UACGUAGGGUGCAAGCGUUGUCCGGAAUUAUUGGGCGUAAAGAGCUCGUAGGCGGUCUGUUGCGUCGGCUGUGAAAAUCCGGGGCUCAACCCCGGACUUGCGGUGGGUACGGGCAGACUAGAGUGUGGUAGGGGAGACUGGAAUUCCUGGUGUAGCGGUGAAAUGCGCAGAUAUCAGGAGGAACACCGAUGGCGAAGGCAGGUCUCUGGGCCACUACUGACGCUGAGAAGCGAAAGCGUGGGGAGCGAACAGG
rnacentral:rRNA from 1 species